rnacentral:rRNA from 1 species
CAAUAGCGUAUAUUAAAGUUGUUGCGGUUAAAAAGCUCGUAGUUGGAUUUCUGCCGAGGACGACCGGUCCGCCCUCUGGGUGUGUAUCUGGUUUGGCCUGGGCAUCUUCUUGGAGAACGUAGCUGCACUUGACUGUGUGGUGCGGUGUCCAGGACUUUUACUUUGAGGAAAUUAGAGUGUUUCAAGCAGGCACACGCCUUGAAUACAUUAGCAUGGAAUAAUAAGAUAGGACCUCGGUUCUAUUUUGUUGGUUUCUAGAGCUGAGGUAAUGAUUAAUAGGGAUAGUUGGGGGCAUUCGUAUUUAACUGUCAGAGGUGAAAUUCUUGGAUUUAUGAAAGAUGAACAACUGCGAAAGCAUUUACCAAGGAUGUUUUCAUUAA